UUUGAUCCUUGGCUCAGGAUUACGCUGGCGCGCGCCUAAUACAUGCAAGUCGAACGGAGACCCUUCAAAAGGUCUUAGUGGCGAACGGGUGAGUAACACGUAAGUAACCUACCUUUAAGACGAGGAUAACAAUCGGAAACGGUUGCUAAGACUGGAUAGGAAACAGAAAGGCAUCUUUUUGUUUUUAAAAGACCUUCUUCGGAGGGUAUGCUUAAAGAGGGGCUUGCGCCACAUUAGUUAGUUGGUGAGGUAAAGGCUUA
rnacentral:rRNA from 1 species